AGCGAACGCUGGCGGCAGGCCUAACACAUGCAAGUCGAACGGAUCCUUCGGGAUUAGUGGCGGACGGGUGAGUAACACGUGGGAACGUGCCCUUUGGUUCGGAACAACUCAGGGAAACUUGAGCUAAUACCGGAUGUGCCCUUCGGGGGAAAGAUUUAUCGCCAUUGGAGCGGCCCGCGUCUGAUUAGCUAGUUGGUGAGGUAACGGCCCACCAAGGCGACGAUCAGUAGCCGGUCUGAGAGGAUGAUCAGCCACACUGGGACUGAGACACGGCCCAGACUCCUACGGGAGGCAGCAGUGGGGAAUCUUGCGCAAUGGGCGAAAGCCUGACGCAGCCAUGCCGCGUGAAUGAUGAAGGUCUUAGGAUUGUAAAAUUCUUUCAGCGGGGACGAUAAUGACGGUACCCGCAGAAGAAGCUCCGGCUAACUUCGUG
rnacentral:rRNA from 1 species